UAAAACAAAAAGACAAUGAAAACAAUGCUCGUAAAUACAUAUUGGUGGCGCUCACUAAAACUCCUACAGUCGUAAGGGAGCAGUGCUCGUAUGUAUAUAUGUAAACAUUAUAUAGAAUAAGAAAAGAGCCCUGUC
rnacentral:ncRNA from 1 species